rnacentral:tRNA from 1 species
UAGCUCAGUCAGUUGAGCGUGGUGCUGAUAACACCAAGGUCACAGGUUCAAUCCCCGU